rnacentral:rRNA from 1 species
AUUGAACGCUGGCGGCAGGCCUAACACAUGCAAGUCGAACGGUAACAGGAAGCUGCUUGCUGCUUUUCUGACGAGUGGCGGACGGGUGAGUAAUGUCUGGGCAACUGCCUGAUGGAGGGGGACAACUACUGGAAACGGUUACUAAUACCGCAUAGCGUCUCAAGACCAAAGAGGGUGACCUUCCGGCCUCUUGCCAUCGUCUGUGCCCAGGUGGGAUUAUCUAGUAGGUGGGGUAACGGCCCACCUAGGCGACUAUCCCUAGCUGGUCUGAGAGGAUGACCAGCCACACUGGAACUGAGACACGGUCCAGACUCCUACGGGAGGCAGCAGUGGGGAAUAUUGGACAAUGGGCGAAAGCCUGAUGCAGCCAUGCCGCGUGUAUGAAGAAGGCCUUCGGGUUGUAAAGUACUUUCAGCGGGGAGGAAGGGAGUAAAGUUAAUACCUUGGCUCAUUGACGUUACCCGCAGAAGAAGCACCGGCUAACUCCGUG